UUUCCGUAGGUGAACCUGCGGAAGGAUCAUUACCGAGUGAGGGCCCUCUGGGUCCAACCUCCCACCCGUGUUUAUCGUACCUUGUUGCUUCGGCGGGCCCGCCUCACGGCCGCCGGGGGGCACCCGCCCCCGGGCCCGCGCCCGCCGAAGACACCAUUGAACGCUGUCUGAAGAUUGCAGUCUGAGCAUCUUAGCUAAAUCAGUUAAAACUUUCAACAACGGAUCUCUUGGUUCCG
rnacentral:misc_RNA from 2 species